rnacentral:rRNA from 1 species
UACAGAGGGUGCGAGCGUUAAUCGGAAUUACUGGGCGUAAAGGGUGUGUAGGUGGUUGUAUAAGUUAGAUGUGAAAGCCCCGGGCUCAACCUGGGAACUGCAUUUGUGACUGCACGGCUGGAGUGCGGCAGAGGGGGAUGGAAUUCCGCGUGUAGCAGUGAAAUGCGUAGAUAUGCGGAGGAACACCGAUGGCGAAGGCAAUCCCCUGGGCCUGCACUGACGCUCAUGCACGAAAGCGUGGGGAGCAAACAGG